GACUAUUUUUUUAAAUCUUUUUUGAGAUUUUUUAUUUUUUUUUCACUUUUUUAGCCUUCAUUUUUUUUUUUUUUGCACUACCUUCAAAAAUAUUUUUAGUCUUUUUACCUUUUGUUAUUAGCUCUUUAAGAACUAAACCUGUACAAGAAAUAAACUGUUCUCCCAAUAUUUAUUCUAUGUUAGUCUUUGUAUAAGUUGAAAUCAGUUUUGUCAUCUUUCAUCUAGUACUAAACAAGAAACAGCAUACCUUCCUUCACCACCUCACCAGCCAUAACAGUGAAAUCCAUAGAAUGCUUUAACUAAUAGUAUGUAUAUAAUGCUAUCAUCAUUAUUAUUCUCCAAUAUGUAUUUGUUUCUAGAAUAAAACAUUCCUUUCUCUGUUUUCUUACUGCCAGGAUUACUGACACUGGUGUUGCCAAAUCCUAAUCAUAACUUGCCAGUCAAAAGUUGUCAUUUCAUGUGAUGAAUUUCAUAAUCAAAUUCCAUGUUACUUUCCUCAAGCUGUGCAUGUGUUUACUUGACAUUCCUUCAUGUAUGUGUGAAUGCUUGCAUGUGUGAAUGUGUCAAGCCAAGCAAUGGUUGCCAUCACUUUAUAGAUACAUUAUUGAGUAAUAUUCGGUUUAUGUUCAAGCAUCCAAAGAGUGUUUAUUUAUUUGUUGGCCAAGUUCUGGUCAGCACUGCUGCUCUAAAUCUCCUAUGGUGCAACCCUGACUCAUAAUAAGUGUACAUUAUGGUAUUUAUUGUUUUUGUUAACACAGCUGGUUGUUUGGUAGGCAAUUAAGGUUAUCAACAUAAUGAAUCAAAGUUUAAAUUCUGGCCAAGGUUAUUCCUUGGCACCCUUUUUUAUGAGAUCUAAAUAAAAUUGUCCUCUUUCUAGAAAUAUCUGUAUUUAAGACUAGCCUAUUUCCAGUAUAUAAAACAUUGAGCUCAACUCAACUCUGAUAUCUCAAGUUUAGACAAAUGUUUCAUUCCAAUGUACAGUUAUAGUAAUCACUUUAUUUUCUAGAAUGAACAAAACUAUUUAUAAUAAAAGCUUAACAAAGUUACACAAAAAGCCAUUGAAUUAUCUUCUUAUCUUAUCUUUUUCUGUUGGCCACAAGAGAAUAUUUAUUACAACCAGAUAUCUCACAGUCAAGAUAGUUCAAGUGUAAGCCAUUAGUUUCAAAUGAUUCUUAUGUGUUUCGAUUUUAUAUUUAAAUGUUAGUUUUGUAAGCAAGGAAAUAUUUCUACAUUUCUUGACAGUGUGCAUCACUUGGUAACAUCAGUGCUGAACAUCUAACUACAUUGUACUCAUAUGAAUUCUGGCUUUAACACUUAUUAAUCAACGUCUGACUGAGUUGCAUUACAGCAAUAAAGCUUAAUGAUUAUAAUUUGUAUCUUAGAAAAUAGUUUUUGUUGGGGUUUUUUUUUAAAUUUUAUUUCUUUUAAAGUUUAGACCAAUCAUUUACAAUGUAAUUUAUGGAAAACAAUGAAAUAUUUUUUUAUGUUGUUUUAUUUUUCAUAAAACUUUAUCAAUGUAUGAAAGUUAAUGAAUUGUUUACACUUCAACUGCAACUGACUUCUACUGGUUGAUGUAAAACUUUAAAUCAUUAACUUUUGCUUCUAGAACUCUAGUGGGUGCUUCAUAGCCAUAUGAUUAUGUUUCUGAGUAUUUGUGUCCAAGAGUAACAGACUUAAUUGUGUUCUGUAUCUUUCCCAUAGCCUUUGUAAUGUCACUGACCCUUAAAUACAGACAUGAUUCAUAAAUAUCUAUUCAUAUAUAAAUAUAAUAUAUACAUCUCAAGCAUAAACUGAAUGAAAAUAUUUGGUGAAUAAAGAAAAUCAAAAUAUUUUUAAAAUUCA